rnacentral:rRNA from 1 species
AGUGAACGCUGGCGGUAGGCCUAACACAUGCAAGUCGAACGGCAGCACAGUAAGAGCUUGCUCUUACGGGUGGCGAGUGGCGGACGGGUGAGGAAUACAUCGUAAUCUACUUUUUCGUGGGGGAUAACGUAGGGAAACUUACGCUAAUACCGCAUACGACCUACGGGUGAAAGCAGGGGAUCUUCGGACCUUGCGCGAUUGAAUGAGCCGAUGUCGGAUUAGCUAGUUGGCGGGGUAAAGGCCCACCAAGGCGACGAUCCGUAGCUGGUCUGAGAGGAUGAUACGCCACACUGGAACUGAGACACGGUCCAGACUCCUACGGGAGGCAGCAGUGGGGAAUAUUGGACAAUGGGCGCAAGCAUGAUCCAGCCAUACCGCGUGGGUGAAGAAGGCCUUCGGGUUGUAAAGACAUUUUGUUGGGAAAGAAAAGCAGCAGGUUAAUACCCCGCUGUUCUGACGGUACCCAAAGAAUAAGCACCGGCUAACUUCGUG